AUGCUCUUGUAGAUAUAAUAUAAAAUGCAAUCAUUAAGAACCCAAAACGCAUGUACUCAAUGCGUUUGCAGAAGACAGAGCAACAAGGGAAACACCCUUAAGGGCCCGAACGUUAUUUUUUGUUGUCUUCGGAUGGCAAUUUAAGUUGUGUUGUAAAUGAUGUCUUAAGUCCUUUCGUGUGAAAUUGAAAAAAUGUAUUUCAUUUAGAGUCAACAAAUAUUAGUUAGCACAUGCUAUUUACUGACAUGAAGUAUUUCCCCCUGACUCGGGUAAAGCAGAGUCCCUUCGGAAAUGUUAAGAAAUAAGUAUUUUACUGUUUCAAAGUAACCCGUUGAUGGAUCUACACAAAUCGUUACACAAAUGAAUAUCACUUCAGGCUAGUGGUGCACAUGCAUCUAAUGUGAAUUCUCUUUAUUAACUGCCGAAUUGCACUUUAAUUGUUUUUAAAACUCAUGUAAAUGGAGAAGGUAAACAAACAAGGACACAUAUCAAACAGGGAAUGCCACUUCAAACACACACCCACACAAACACACGCACACAUACUUAUCUACAUGUGACAUAUCACCUGAAACUGACAACACUGCUUUCUAGAAGUCGUAGACUAAAAAUAAAUGCAUCCUGCGGCUACAUUGUCAAAAGUAAAAGUAUCUUGGGGUCAAAAAUAUAAAUUCCACCUGGAUGUCACUACAGUGUAACGUGAUUAAUCUGACACACGACGUUAAGUGAAACACACCUGCCUACCACUACAGUCGUUACACACGCGAAACUCACUUUAGAUUUUGCACACACGUGUAAUUCACCAAUGCGUUUUACACAAACGACGGAAAGCGACAUUAACUUAAAUACCCUUGCCUACCACUACAGUCUUAAUACACUCGAAACUCACUUCAGUUUUUUUACACGUGUAUUUCAUCACUGUGUUCUUGACGCACGACUGCACCGACGUAAAAGUAAACACACUUGCCUACAACUACAGGCGUUACACAUGUGCACUUCAAUUGUUGCACACACGUGUAAUUCACCACUGUUUACAGUUUAUUUUAAUUAACAGAUAUGUGUAACUUCAAAACAACUGUGACGUCGUCAUACGCUUACACUAUAUACAGUGUGGCCAUACCACGUGAUCAAAUGGGCACGGAACACGCGAAAAUCGGCCUCGAUUCAGGUUGUUCUGUUACCGCACUAAUUGUAAGCUUAAAGCAGAGACGGAAGCACAGACGGAAUAACCUAAUAACUGUUUUGGUGGCCUAAUCGAUAGUGAGACCGCAGAAUGGAAAGAAUAAUUAUGCAACUCUGCAUACAGAUAGAAAGGCGGUGAAACAUGGAUCUCUGAAGGAGCAAGGAGAAAAGGGAGUAAACUAUUACCAACAGUUCCGAUGGGAAUUGACCUCAUAAACUAUAGAUAGCGAAACAGGAGAUAUUUUAAUGAAGUUGCACAGAUAAAUUACACAAGGAAUUCCUCGUGUUAUAACAUUGUGCAGCGUAAUUAUUACUUUUUGAACUAGUGCUUAUCUGUAAACUUUGACUUUUAAAUUCAGUGUGACAUUGUAAUAUGUACUCGUGGAUUUGAGGUUAGAGACAAACUUUACAGCAAGUCGCAAUUAUUUGUGUUCUGAAAUAAUAAAUAAGUGCCUAACUUUUAUUAAUUAUGAAACACAGACUGACGUUCUGAUUUGAAGUAAUUGAAUUUCAAGUGUUUCCAAUGACUGCCACUGUUUAGACACUCAGUGACGUAUUUAUCAAAUCAAUUCAGAUCACGCGAAUGAAAAAUCGAAAUAUUCAAAAUGUCAAUGAAACGAUCGAACUCUGAUAAAAUCAAAACACAAAGAAUGACGUCAAUUCUGGCGACGUAUAACCGAUUUAGAGUGUAUUAAUUUAGGUAAAACACAAUUUUGUUAUACAUCAUUUCGAUGCUAAUAUGCCCUUAAUAUAAACCUGUGGAUAAAAUAUAAUUGUACACUUUUUUGUUAGCAACAAAGUCAUUGACGUCAUCUCAAGUUAACGUGACGUCAUUUUAGCCUAAGCAUGUUUUAACAGAAAAAAGCAUAUUAGAAUGAAUAUUCAUUUACAAUUUCAAGAUGGCGAUUGUGCUAGAACAUACUGUCAUUUUUUAAAUAAUUUUACGGGCAUAACGUUUUAAAACAUUGUUUAUUUGCAGAACUAGACAAAUCAAUAAAAUGAUCAUCAUAAUUUGAACUUGUUAUACCCGGGAUUUGUCCAAUAAUAUGCGAAGUGGUCAAAACAUCAUAAAAAGAUGUAUAAAGGGCCAUAACUCUGAUGAAAAUCAUCAAAUCGGGAAGUGUAUGCGAUAUGCACAAUUAGGCUUGGCAGUGGUCACUUUUGUGUAGUUUGGUAUAGUCGUUGGUGUCUGAAGGGUUGUAUGGAAAAUCUCUUUGACAGACGUACAGACAGACUUACUGACAGAUAAACAUGUCUCCCCUACCACAUGUCGGAGACAUAACAAAGUGGUAUAAGCAUGUCAAUCACAGGUAUGUUAUAUUAUAACGUACAUUAAUAAUUGUCUGAAUGUUUGAGUAAAUGGGAUGCACUGGAUAUUUUUAUUAAGGAAGCAUUUUUAUAUGUUACAGACAAGGAUUUUGAAUGUCUCUGUGAAGCUGAAAUACAACACACAUGGUGCAAUUCUUCUAUGUCUGUAUUAAUGCUGACAUAGUGUUUCCUUACGAAUUAACGUGACGUCAUUUUAGCGUAAGCAUGUUUUAACAGAAAAAAGCAUAUUAGAAUGAAUAUUCAUUUACAAUUUCAAGAUGGCGAUUGUGCUAGAAUAUACUGUCAUUUUUUAUAUAAUUUUACGGGCAUAAUGUUUUAAAACAUUGUUUAUUUGCAGAACUAGACAAAUCAAUAAAAUGAUCAUCAUAAUUUGAACUUGUUAUACCCGGGAUUUGUCCAAUAAUAUGAGAAGUCGUCAAAACAUCAUAAAAAGAUGUAUAAACGGCCAUAACUCUGAUGAAAAUCAUCAAAUCGGGAAGUGUAUGCGAUAUGCACAACUAGGCUUGGCAGUGGUCACUUUUGUGUAGUUUGGUAUAGUCGUUGGUGUCUGAAGGGUUGUAUUGAAAAUCUCUUUGACAGACGUACAGACAGACUUACUGACAGAUAAACAUGUCUCCCCUACCACAUGUCGGAGACAUAACAAAGUGGUAUAAGCAUGUCAAUCACAGGUAUGUUAUAUUAUAACGUACAUUAAUAAUUGUCUGAAUGUUUGAGUAAAUGGGAUGCACUGGAUAUUUUUAUUAAGGAAGCAUUUUUAUGUGUUACAGACAAGGAUUUUGAAUGUCUCUGUGAAGCUGAAAUACAACACACAUGGUGCAAUUCUUCUAUGUCUGUAUUAAUGCUGACAUAGUGUUUCCUUACGAAUUAAUGUUGUACAAUAUUCACAUCAGACGUUAACUGCUUCAUCAAUCCUUAAACCUGAAAAAAAGCAUGUUUAAUAUCAUUUUCGUGUAAAAUUCAAAUUUCUUGCUUUAAUAUUCUAUUUAGGCAUGUAAAUCUGUAUAAAAGUUUCUAUAAGUUAAUGGGGAUUAGCAAUGUUCCAAUAGGAUAUUUAGAAGUAACUGCGACCAUUGAAUCAGUGCGCUUCAUUUCUGAAAUUUAUUACGUUUUUGUUUUGAUGAAGUACCACAUCAUAAAACAUAAAUAAUCUUGAACGUUUAGAUAAUUAUGCUAAAUAUAAAAACUUCCUUCUGACUUCG
rnacentral:lncRNA from 1 species